UUUAAUGCAUUCUUCACUUUAAUGGCUAAAGCACAUGUAUGAUGUGAGUUUGAUAGGCCAUAAGUCAGGCUUCUUUAGUUCAGGCCAAAUCAGUUUUAAACCAGAACAGUUACCCCAUAUACCUCAAUAUGUGAUAAUCUCUUGGUCAUAUGUGAAUUAUAUCGCAAUAAAGUUAUUUUAAAAAACUCAGCAGUAAAAAAAAAAUCUUUAAAAAGAUGCAUAGAAAAGCAAACAAAACAAAAGCUCUUUUGUCAUGAUCCGUGCACCCACUCUUUGGUUAAUUGAAGGGAAAGAAGUAUAUACCUGUGUGAACUAUUUCAGAUAGCCCUGGCGGUAAAGGAAAGCUGCUCUUGUCAGAAUAAGUCUAGCUUAUGGGAAUAAACAUGAGAGAAUGGUAGAAUUAAAACGACACCAGUUUGCAAUCCCCAAUGAAAUGAUUGGUGGAGACAAAAAUCAUCUAGGGAUGCUAAAACCAUUCAGCAAAUGAAUGGGAACUGGAUCUUCACAGGGCAGCAGUGUCUUCCCAGGGAUUAUUUGCUGGUCAGAAAGGGGAAAAUGCAAAUUUACAAGGAGGGAUCCAGCUGCACUCACUCAGCGUUACUCUCAGCAGGACCACCCAACGCUAAGCGCUUCCUGGUGUGAUGCAGCAUCAAGUAGACAGCACCACUGGUGUACGGUCUACCCCACAUCUUGAACUUGAGUCCAGUCAAGCCUGUAGCUCCACCUCCAGUUUAUAGAACGUGAAAGGAUUAGAGGAACUAGUAAAGGAAACUAUGAAGAAGUAAUCAAACAUGUCCAGUAAGUGGAACAUUUAACAGGACAAGAGGACAACCAAACCCCGCUCGUCCUCACACCACUGGCAUGAGGAAAAGGGGCCAGUCUGAACCAACGCUGCCCAACAGAAAUCUAGCGGGAGCCACGUGAGGAACUUGAAAAGCUUUAAGUUUUUAGUAGCCACAUUAAAAAUGCCAUGAACUGGCAACGUUUCUUUCUGCAUUUGAAAGUCUGCUGUUGGCCUGGGGCCCACGUGGCUUUCAUCCGUGGACCAGUGGAGAGGGUCUUCCUUCCUUUCCUAUCUUGUUCCAUAUGGGAGUUGCUUAGGAACAGGCUGACCACAGGCGGGAAACACACCUGCAAGGUAUCCAUCACAGCUGACAGAAGAAUGGAACAAUAUGAUGCCUGGAGCCCGUCACGCCUGGAGACCAACAUGCUGGACCCCUCCUCACUGCCCAUUUCCCCUAUAUAACUUCCUCAAGAUUGUGUAAUCUUGGAAGAUGGGUUUUUGAGACAUGAGUCACCUGUCUUCCAAUUUGCUGGCUAAUCUAAUUAAACUUUGUUUCUU